AAAACACACACUUAAAGUGUGUGUUCUGGUCGUGACAAUCACAGGAGCCAAGGGAGGGUUCCUUACUCAAACCCUAACUUGCCUAAAUCCAAGAAAUUGAGAGGCCAAAUCAGUCCCAAAUCAAAAUCCAAGCUCGUAUUCAUGAACACCAAGUUGAAAGGAUCACAAGUUUGACGCGUAACAAGCUAGGUGGAAGCUUGGAGUGAAAGCGGGUCAAACAAGUCAAGCAUGGAAGAAAAGCGUAGCUCGGAUGCAAGGUAAGUGAAACUUACAUAAUUGUGUAGAUUACUUGUUCAUUCUAUACGUUAUAGAUGCAAUAAUGCUAAUAUUGAAAAUAUGGAUUUCCGACGUGAUUGAUACGAGUCGGAACAUAUAAAGAUGAUAAAAACCAUGGUUUAUGGCAAAGAGGGGAUUCGGUAAUGAAAUCCGGGACGGGAUGGAUGUAUGAAUUAGAAGUCAAAAACCAUGUUUUUGAUUUAAUAGGCAACGUUGGGCAUAUACGCCGAACGGGUCAAAUGGUGGUGAUAACACUAUUUGACAAUAUCGACUAAUGCGAUUGUCAAGUCUUGUGUUAACAGGAGCGAUUAGCGAUUCAGUUAAUUACGCCCACACUAAGUGUGAUGAUAAAAGCGAGGUAUAAAUUGGGUCUAUAUGUUGACCCUAGCCAGGUACGUAUGCAUACGAUUAUAGUUAACAUACAAACUUGGUCAAAUAUGUAGUGAAAGCCCCUCGUAGUAAAUGAGGGGCUAAUGUCGACUAAAAUGCCCUUGAAGGGUAAAUUGAGCAAACAACUUAUAAAGGUUGUUUAGGAACUUAUCUUACGAUCUUGUAACCUUUAGACGCGCAUGAAAGUUGUAGACAUAAAAUGGAAAGGUGGGAUGCAGGUGCCACCGUAAAUUACGGUGCCACCGUAAUUUACGGUGGACCUGAAAUGGUUUACGGUGAAACACUCCUGAUUUACGAUGGAAACAAAUCAAAACAAGGACUACCGUAAAUUACGGUGUCCACCGUAAUUUACGGUGGACCUUGUGCAAAAAUGUAUUUUUGAUCAGUUUUGUUUUCCGGACUCCUUUAGAUGCGUUUUAAAUACCGUAUGACUAAAGCAUUUCAUGUUUAUGAAAUGUAGGUGCUUUCUGGGAUGCCGGAGGACGAUCAAGCUCAGCGAAGAACCGAACACGAUAAAGAUACACGCUUCCGCGCAUUGCAACGUUGUAGAUUUUAAUCAACGAAUUCGAUCACGUUUUGUAGAAUAACGGAUGAUUUGUAAAAGUUUUUAAUAAACCCGUAUUUAUAUAGCAUGUGUAGUCUUAACUACACAUCUAAUUGUUGGUA